UGGCUUAGACAGUAAAGAAUCUGCCUGCAAUGCAGGAGACCCAGGUUCAAUCCCUGG
rnacentral:tRNA from 1 species